CUGCUAAAUACUCUAAGGAUAGACGCCAAUUUUCUUUCCUCACCCUUUCCAAAAUGGACUAGCUAUCCUGCUUGUUGGGUGAGUCUGAUAAAAUAUCUCUUUCUGUUUAAGCUGGCUUGGAUUCCACUAGUCAUUGUGGCCACCUUGAGAACAGCUGGCUUUCUUAGGAGGGUCCUUUCAUCCAGUGAAGAAAGUGGGUAGAACUGACUGGAAAUCCUGUCACUUUAAGCAAAGCAAAGAUCACAGGACCUGUCCUGAAAUGAUGUCACCCAGGUUAACUGAGAAAAUGCAUCCAGAGUGUUCCUUCGUUAUCUGGUAGGUCAGCGAAAGCCGCUGUGAUAAUAGCAUCCGGCAUCUAAUGGCUAUUGAAAUUCUCCCUCUGAUGAUGGCCCUUAACACUCAUCAGCUCCCGUAGCAGUCACCCUGCAGGUGGAGAACAAGCCACCAGGUUCUGGAUGCCAGCAAGAUGACAACCAGACUUCCCUGGAUUGAUGACCCCACCAAUGUGUCCUGGAGCCCCACUUCUCCAGAGCCCUACCCUACUAGGGAAAGAGAGAGGCAGACUGGGAGUAUGGACCAACCAGUCAAUGCCCAUGUUCAGUGGGGAAGCAAUUACAGAAGCCAGACCUU